rnacentral:rRNA from 1 species
AUGAACGUUGGCGGCGUGGAUUAGGCAUGCAAGUCGCGCGCGUAGCAAUACGAGCGGCGAAAGGGACAGUAAUGUGUGGGUCAUCUGCCCUCGGGACGGGGAUAGCCACGGGAAACUGUGGGUAAUACCCGAUAACAUCUUCGGAUCAAAGGUGUGAGUCCGCCCGGGGAUGAGCCUGCAUCCUAUUAGCUUGUUGGCGGGGUAACGGCCCACCAAGGCUUUGAUGGGUAGCGGGUGUGAGAGCACGACCCGCGUCAUUGGGACUGAGACACUGCCCAGACACCUACGGGUGGCUGCAGUCGAGAAUCUUCGGCAAUGGACGCAAGUCUGACCGAGCGACGCCGCGUGCGGGAUGAAGGCCUUCGGGUUGUAAACCGCUGUCAGUGGGGAGGAAGGCUCCGUGAAGAGCGGGGUUUGACCUAUCCGCAGAGGAAGUGUGGGCUAAGCUCGU